rnacentral:piRNA from 1 species
UCGUAACUGAGUUUGACCUGACACCCC